GCCCCUAGGGUGGCCCCUAAUCGACUGUGACAGUUGUCUGUAUGAGGAGAGGGGAUUUGGAUGUAAAUGGACAUAGAUACACACAGGAAGUCACAGGGAGCAGGUGGCCAAGCUGAGAAGACCAACCUGAGAGCAUCUUGAUUUCAGACUCUGGCCUCCAGAGCCUUGGGAGUUUCUUUGUUGUUUUGUUUUGUUUGUUGUUUUGUUUUUUAAGUAUACAAAUGAUUUUAUUCUUUCUUUCAUUCAAAUUUCUCUAUUGCUACUAAUUCAACAAUUUGCAUAUUCUCUAAUAUACACUUGCAUGUAUUUGUAUAGAUAUACAUAGUAUAUUACACAAAUAUAAUAUUGUAUAUAUGUGUAUGUGUGUAUGAAUUUACAUAUUUUCCCAAAAUAUCUCAGACUAAAUGGUUCAUCUACACUGUCUUUUUUUUAAAAAACACUUCUGCUUUCCUUUUUUGUUAAUUUAAUUUUAUUUUUUACAUAUUCACUUUACAUCCUACUUACUGAACCCUUCCUGGUCACCCCCUCCCAUAAUUCUUCCAUCUACCCCCUCCCUUUCUCCUUUGAGUGGGUGGCCCCCCUGGGCACGCCCUUCCCCCAGUCCUGGCACUUUAGGUCUCUGCAAGGCUAGGUACUUCCUCUCCAUGGGGUGCUUGGUCAGAAAACUCACUAUUGAGUGUGACCAAUAAAAUAACAACAUGAGCCAGGCAUAGUAGCACAUGCCUUCAAUAUCAGCACUCAGGAGGCAGAGGCAGAUGAAUCUCUGUGAGUUCAAAGCCAACCUGGUCUACAUAGUGAGUUCUAACACAGCCAAGAUUACGUAUAGAGACUCUGUCUCAGCACAUAGGGGAGGGGCAGGAAGAAUAUAAAAACAUGAGAUUUGGAGGAAAUUAAGCAAACGAUGCUUUCAAAUCCUCAAUAUGGAUUAAGUAUGACCUGGGUGGGGGAAAUUUAUGCCAUUCCCUUGUUGCCUGUACCAGAGCCCUAUAUAAUAGGAAACUGUGAAGCCUUGGAUGUGGAAGGACCUUUGGGCGCCACCUAUUAUGAAGUCUGUAUUUGUAGUGGACCAUUCAGUUCCUCCUUGCAUAGACUUUUAUUCAGAAGUUACCUAGGCUAGUGAUGGGGUUCCUCCAUGCCUAAAACCCAGACCUUUUCUGGUUCAAGGCAAGCCUCAGCCUUCUCUUUCUCCAGGGCUGUGUCUACAAUACAUCUAGCUCCUUCUGUUUUGACACAAUUGGCUUAGAGAAGCCACCUGGUUUUCUUCUCCUUCCUCUCUUUAUGCUGUUGUGAGUAGUUUCCACAUGCAAAGGGCUAAAGGCUAGGUUCCUAGUCAUUGGAGCAUCUGCCACUAAAAGCCAAGUCCAGCCUCCUUCUUUUCCUUUCUCUAGGGGUGACUUCUAUUUGAAUCUGGCAUCUCGCUGCUGUCUCCUCUGAGUAUCGUACUGUUUUUAUUAAAAUGAUAAAAGGUGGGUUGUGGGUAUGAGGGUGUUAUGAGCUAGAGCUGGCUCUGGUGGCUGGUGCACAGCAGGGUGCCAAAGAGUAGCGCUGAACCACACAGGGAAAACUAGAUAGUGCGUGUUUCUAUGAAGACAUAAUGAAUGGUGUGAGGAUAAACAUGUUUAACACAUGUGUGGGGGAUGAGAAGGUGGCUCAGUCAGGAAAGUGCCUGCGGCUCAGGCAUGGGGACUGAGUCGGGAUCCCAGCACUUACGUAAAAGCCGGUGACAUAUGUCUGUAACCCCGUGACAUGCGGAACCCUGCAUUGGCCAGACAAUCCCAGCCAAACUGAUGAAUUCUCAAUUCAGUGGGAAACCCUAAGAAAUAAACCUGCAGAAACAGAGCGGCAGGACCUCCAUGACUCGGGGAAACGGCAGGAUGUCCAAGUCUCAGUGAGGGUCCAGGAUUGGCUAAGACACAGAAGGCAGAGGCCUCGAACCAGAUCAGCGACUCGUGCAGUGAACAUUGGCAAGUGAGCUGUUUGAACUGAUGAGCGUAUGGUGUUUGUACCAUGAUGCAUCUUGGCAAGACGUUCGUUUUUCUUUUUUGUUUUCUUUGGGGGCAGAGAUUACAAGGGUAAAGGGCACAUAUAUGGAAGGUCUGGGAAAUGAGUGGGAUUAGGGUGCAAGAAUCAAUAAUAAUUUUUAAAAAGAAAUAAAAUGUAGAGUGAAUGAGGAAGGCACAGAACAUUAAUCUCUGGUCUUUGCAGGCACAAGCACGAACAUGCACACAUCUACACAUACAUCCACACACAUGUGCACAUGUCCAUAUGAACUCACACAUACACCACCCACAAACACACACACACACGCACACACGCACAUAAUGUAAUGUAUCUUGUGAACAUUUACAGUUUUUGUUUCAGUGAAAAAAAUAAAUUGUUAAAAAUCAGUAUUAAACAUUUCCUAUCUUUCCUUCCAUAUUGGAUGUUACACAAAAACAUGUCCUACGUAUCUCAAGUUGUUCUUUUAAAAAUAUUUUGCAUUUCUUUAUUAUGUGUCUUUAUGGAGACUUACAUGUUACAGCAUGUAUGUGAAGGUCAAAGGUCUUUCCACCAGUGGGUCCUGUGGUGGAACUCAUCAGGCCUGGCAGUGAGCGGCUUCUCCCACUGAACCCUCACCCCCAACCCCCACCCCAGUCUGUUAUUGUUCCAUUAAGACCUAUUUACAGAAUUUAUCCUUGAUGCCAAAAAUACUGUUCCAGCACAUGCAAGAUAAAACAGUGUUUGUAUUUAAUGUAUAACCCAUCUGCUUCAGUGUUUUCCAGGGCUGUAGGACGAUACCUAACAUAGCUGCUAUGUUGUGUUGUUUGGGGGGAUAAAGACAGGAAUAGUCUGCCCAUGCUUGGAACAGAUGCAGUGAGCAUGGAGGUCAGACUAAGCUGCAUCUCCUUGCUCCAUGACUGAUAUUUAGGCUGCCUCUAGCUGGAUUCUGUUAUUCAGGAUGCUGCCAAGAAUAUUUUUAUCCACGUUCCUUUGUGUAUGUGUAUGAGCCUUUAUUUAGGGUAUGUGUCUGUGGGUGGAAUUGCUAACUUACAGGGGGGCGGGGGGUACACACUUUGCUUUCAGGCUUUCUAGAAACUACAAAUGGUCUUUCCCAGUGUUGCUAGCAGUUUAUAGUCCUGCUUAGUGUCUGGAAUGCCUGGGCCCCCCACCUCCUGCUAGCAUGGCUUUGGGGCCGAUCUUUAAAUAUUAGCGUCUCUUUCGUAGUUGCUCAUCACUUGGCUUUGGUGGUGUGUCCUUCUCCCCUACUAUUCAGAGGUGAGUAGGUGUGGACCUACUAUGCACCUCCAUCGUUUUGCUGUGAAAAUAGACUCGCUAAGUGGGGCAGCUCAGAUCCCCAAAGUAGGUGCGAGACUCUAGAUCCUCUGCUCUCGUUUGUCCCAAACACAUGCCCGGUUUGAAUGAGUGACCAUUGAGCGUUGUUCUAAGCAGGGUCUGGGCUGAGACUGUCUUAGCUGAGUUCAUUAGAGGGCCUGUGCAGCUUAUAGUAGCGGUCGGGGGUGGGGGUCUCGAAUCGGGCCGUUCCACAGUCCCGGGACCCUUGGGCCCGUGGGAAAUGGAAACUGCAAGCUUCAUUUAUUGAAUUUGUUUCUCUUCUGCUUCAAACCCUUCUCAAACCUCUCCCUACUUCUUGCCUACUGCCACGCUGGCUUUUUCUUUGUAGCUACAGAACCCUUUCCUGAACAGGACUCCUCUGUCCACUCUACCUGCAACUUCCCCGCUCCUGACUAUUGGCUCCAGUCUCAUCCAUCCACAGGAAGGGCCCUAACCCCGGCUCUCAUGUGACCUUUUCCCUCCGGGGUCCUCAUCGCAGUGGCCAGUUUACAUGCCUGGGUAUGACUGGGAUGCUGCCUCAAGGAGUCAGGAGUUAAAUCUGGUAUGCGCACUUUCUAUCCCUGGCUUGCACCAGUGUGUCUGACACAUGGCGAGAACUCAGUAAACACUGGUGAAGUGAGUGAAUGAAUAAGUGGUCUGUCUUUACAAAGCUCAGCCUGUCUGAUUUCCUGGAGGCAAAGCUGUCUGCCUAAUUGGAUUUUCCGACUCCUUCCCCAGCCUAGCCCUACAGUAUGGUCUUUUGGAAAAGAACAAAUCUUGUAGACAGUUAAAAGAUGUCUAUUCACGUCUCAAAGGACGCAUCGAGGAGAUAAGUAGGGAAGAAGGGAAAAGGAAGAUCAUUUGUUAGAAGAGCAUCAGUUACCACUAUCUUUGCCUACAAAGGCUGCGUCCGACCAGCUGUGUGAGUGUUCCCUGGGUCCAGCCAGCGGGCCAUGCCCGCUCCGCAGAAUCUGCUUGAAUCAUGGCAGGGUUGGCAGCCUGUUGCUCUUCCUAUUGUCAUUAUAACUUAGAGGAUGCCCACCAGCUGUGUGUAGUUG
rnacentral:lncRNA from 1 species